rnacentral:snRNA from 1 species
GUGUUCACUUCGGCAGCACAUAUAUUAAAAAAAAAAAUUGGAACGAUACAGAGAAGAUUAGCAUGGCCCCUAUGCAAGGAUGACACUCAAAUUCCUGAAGCGAUCCAUUAAAAA